UACGUAGGAGGCAAGCGUUGUCCGGAAUUACUGGGCGUAAAGCGCGUGUAGGUGGUGGGACAAGUCUGCUGUGAAAGCGCCUGGCUUAACCGGGGCGAGGUCGGCGGAAACUGUUCGACUCGAGGACGGUAGAGGGGGGUGGAAUUCCCGGUGUAGUGGUGAAAUGCGUAGAUAUCAGGAGGAACACCUGUGGCGAAAGCGGCGCACUGGACCACAACUGACGCUGAGGCGCGAAAGCUAGGGGGAGCAAACAGG
rnacentral:rRNA from 1 species